UAACAAUUUUGAGAAAUGGUUGAUAAUAUAAUUUUUCAUCAUACAAAAAAAAGAGAGGUGUUAAUGGAUACCAACUUGACAAACUUCUUUGUUCCUCUUUUUUUUUUAAAUAUUUAAAGAUUUUUGUGAUUGUGUGCUUCUAAAUUACCCAAUUUUUGUUUGCUUUUAUAUCGAAAUCUGAUUUUUUGAGAUUGUGUGCUUCUAAAUUAUCAAAUUUGAGUUUGAUUUAUGUCAAACUCCGUCUAAGUAGGAGAAUUGAGAGAAAUUUAAAGGAAUCGAGAAUUGAAAGAGUUUACAGAGAGUAGACGGAUGUAGGAUGAAUUGAAUUUGAUUUUAUUUAUAGGUAAAAUUGAUUUUUCACAAUCCCAAAAUAUCCCUCAAAAUUAGUU
rnacentral:misc_RNA from 1 species